UAAUACUGGAUAGGCAAUUAUUCCUGUAAUGGUUUUUUGUUUAAAUGUUUUUUCGCCUAAGGAUGGGUCUGCGGCCGAUUAGGUAGUUGGUUAGGUAAUGGCUUACCAAGCCUUUGAUCGGUACGGGUUGUGAGAGCAAGAGCCCGGAGAUGGAACCUGAGACAAGGUUCCAGGCCCUACGGGGUGCAGCAGGCGCGAAACCUCCGCAAUGUGAGAAAUCGCGACGGGGGGAUCCCAAGUGCCAUUCUUAACGGGAUGGCUUUUCAUUAGUGUAAAGAGCUUUUGGAAUAAGAGCUGGGCAAGACCGGUGCCAGCCGCCGCGGUAACACCGGCAGCUCUAGUGGUAGCAGUUUUUAUUGGGCCUAAAGCGUCCGUAGCCGGUUUAAUAAGUCUCUGGUGAAAUCCUGCAGCUUAACUGUGGGAAUUGCUGGAGAUACUAUUAGACUUGAGAUCGGGAGAGGUUAGAGGUACUCCCAGGGUAGAGGUGAAAUUCUGUAAUCCUGGGAGGACCGCCUGUUGCGAAGGCGUCUGACUGGAACGAUUCUGACGGUGAGGGACGAAAGCUAGGGGCGCGAACCGGAUUAGAUACCCGGGUAGUCCUAGCUGUAACUAUGUGCGUUAGGUGUGU
rnacentral:rRNA from 1 species